GGAGAAGUGCUCGAGUGGUUGAAGAGGUACGCCUGGAAAGCGUAUAUACGGUAUCCCCGUAUCGAGGGUUCGAAUCCCUUCUUCUCCG
rnacentral:tRNA from 1 species